GGGAGAGUCAGUUGGCCAAAUGAAAGCUGCGAUUAAGAUGAGGUGUUAUACUAACCUACAUUCAAGAUCUAAAUAGUUAUUUGAAUGUUUAUAGUUAUUUUUGUGCUUCUGUUUGUAAACACAUAUCAUUAUCAAAGAUAAAAGAGAUCAUAUAUGUGGAUCGAUAUAGAUGCUUGGAAGUUGUUAAAAACAUGUAUUUCAUAACUAAAUUCUUCUUCUUCUUUAAGCAAUUUAAAAGUCAAUUUAAAUUGGUCAUAGGUGCUACUCCUAUUGUGUACAUUUAAUUCAAAAAUGGUCUUUGUGAUUUUUUUUUUUACUCAAUCACAAUUGGUUUAUAAAUUGUAAAAAAGGCUUUCAUGACUAUUUUGAUGAUUUUUUUUUUUUUUUUUUUACCAUAUUUACUGCUCUUAAUGUGUACAUUUCAUCCAAAAAUUUUCUUUGAGAUUAAAAUGUAACUUGUUCUGCUCCUGAAAUGACGUUCUUUUUUCAUCCCCUCCCAUCUUAAGUCCCAUCCUAUAUGUUUUUGUCUCAUUAAAUAUCUUGUUUCAUUCACAUUAUACAUGUAAAAUGGGUUGUGAACACCAUUUCAUGUAGCCUUUAGGAGGAAUAGUGUAGUUAAAGUGUGCAUAUUAUCAGACAACAAAUAAUGAAUUAAACUCCACUGUGAAAGAUUCAUGUCACUGAAAUUAUAAUUAUCGAUGUGUUUGUUUUUUUUCCAUUUGUCUCCUCUUUUCUCUUCUCCUGUGGCUGGGAGCCGGUGGGGCUGCACAUGUCGUCAGCUCUGGUUUGCAUUAUGCAGGUCUGACUGCAGGGAGUUUGAUUAAUGGCUGGAGUCAGAGGGGACAGACACAGGAGCUCAGAGGGAGUUGCACACAACAGCAUACUGCACACAGCACUACAGUACAGCUCCGCCGAUACGACAACAACUACAUCAUCCUUCCUCAUGUACUCUGGGACUGUAAUGUUCCCAGAGGGCAUCACUGUCUUGUGGGAGCUGGCAAACUGGCAGAGGACACCAGCUUCCUGUGCCUGUAUAUCCAUGCUCGGCUUUUCUCUGUUGUACCGCUGCCUCAUUGUACUGUACACUCUGAACUAGACAGAUUAUCUCUGACAAGGGAGUGAUCUAGACAGAUUAUUGCUUUUUUCCCUACUGCUGGCCGUAGCGACUCCUGACUGACCCAGUCAUCAAUAUUUACUCUCUCGAGGGAGGUGAACAAAAGCAUCGGCUCGGGUUCGUACAAAAACGAGAUAUUCAGUUCUUAUACAUUCAGGUCAGUGAUCAUUUUAGCUUGGGCUGGAAGGAUAAAGCUGAAUCUGUAACAAAUGCACCCUGUACUCUUGCUCAGAGCAAAAGGCCACUAAAUCAAUCGAGAUUAAUAUUUCAAAGGUCAUGAUCUUGUCAGAAAAUGCAUAACAGGAAAUCCUUGUUUCUUGUACCUAGAUUUUGACGUUAUUAGUGAGUGCUAUUAAUGUCUCAUGUGUAGUUUUGCCAGUAUUGUGGAAGAGACCUAUAUGUGUUUUUAUAGGGAUUAAGGAAAGGACUUUGAUUAAGGAAGAGAUACAUCAAUGGAAUGCUGAAACAUCCUUUUAAAUAAAGGGAGGAAAAUAAAAAGGGGAACUCGAGCG
ensembl:lncRNA